rnacentral:rRNA from 1 species
UACGAAGGGGGCUAGCGUUGCUCGGAAUCACUGGGCGUAAAGGGUGCGUAGGCGGGUCUUUAAGUCAGGGGUGAAAUCCUGGAGCUCAACUCCAGAACUGCCUUUGAUACUGAAGAUCUUGAGUUCGGGAGAGGUGAGUGGAACUGCGAGUGUGGAGGUGAAAUUCGUAGAUAUUCGCAAGAACACCAGUGGCGAAGGUGGCUCACUGGCCCGAUACUGACGCUGAGGCACGAAAGCGUGGGGAGCAAACAGG